rnacentral:ncRNA from 1 species
AUUGAAGCGAAGAAGAGAAGAGUAGUUAACAAAUAUUAGAGAGAAGACGGAUGGUGAAAGUCUUUACGUUGACGAAGGUAGCUCGGAGCAAUAGUGUACGAAUAAUUGAGUGCAUUACGGAUAGAUUUCCGUUAUCAACAUUGAGAAUGACAGAUGUCAUUAAAUUAGGUGGUACCACGAUUCACAGCGUCCUAUGU